CGCACAUUGCGCCCCUUGGCAUUCCGAGGGGCAUGCCUGUCCGAGCGUCAUUAUCACCCCUCAAGCUCUGCUUGGUCUUGGGACCUGCCAGCCCGGCAGCCCCUAAACUCAGUGGCGGCACCGCUGGGUCCCGAGCGUAGUACAACCCGCGCUCUGGGCCCCGGCGGCGGCUGACCAGCAACCCCAACUUCCAGAAGUUGACCUCGGAUCAGGUAGGAAUACCCGCUGAACUUAA
rnacentral:misc_RNA from 1 species